GGGUCUUUUCAAAGAUGGCCUAUGGAGCUGUGAAACCAGGAGCUCUGAAUGCUAUGACCAAAGACUGAUGUUCUCCAUAGAAUGCCACAGUCACUUAACAGGCUAUGUGUUCCUGAGGAGAUGUAGCC